rnacentral:rRNA from 1 species
CCUACGGGAGGCUGCAGUGGGGAAUAUUGGACAAUGGGGGCAACCCUGAUCCAGCCAUGCCGCGUGUGUGAAGAAGGCCCUCGGGUUGUAAAGCACUUUCAGUGAGGAAGAACGCCUGGUGGUUAAUACCCAUCAGGAAAGACAUCACUCACAGAAGAAGCACCGGCUAACUCCGUGCCAGCAGCCGCGGUAAUACGGAGGGUGCGAGCGUUAAUCGGAAUUACUGGGCGUAAAGCGCGCGUAGGUGGCUUGAUAAGCCGGUUGUGAAAGCCCCGGGUUCAACCUGGGAACGGCAUCCGGAACUGUCAAGCUAGAGUGCAGGAGAGGAAGGUAGAAUUCCCGGUGUAGCGGUGAAAUGCGUAGAGAUCGGGAGGAAUACCAGUGGCGAAGGCGGCCUUCUGGACUGACACUGACACUGAGGUGCGAAAGCGUGGGUAGCAAACAGGAUUAGAUACCCCAGUAGUC